ACGACCUUACUUGAACAGGAUCUGUUCUAUAGGAUCGUACCGCUGCAUCCUUGACUAAUAAGGAGGCAAGCACUUAAGCUUGGUUGAUGACACAUGACUUGUGGGUCAGAGCGUGAUUAACGGUUAGGAUUGGAGCUGAGAUGCCUGAUCUGUGGCUGUAGAGGAUCGUUCCUGGUCAGACUUGGCUUGGCUGGGGUGGCUCACAGGUUGUCUGACAGGCU
rnacentral:snoRNA from 2 species